rnacentral:rRNA from 1 species
CCUACGGGGGGCUGCAGUGGGGAAUAUUGGGCAAUGGAGGCAACUCUGACCCAGCAACGCCGCGUGAAUGAUGAAGGUCUUCGGAUUGUAAAGUUCUGUGAUGGGGGAUGAACACAAUGACGGUACCCCAAUAGCAAGCCACGGCUAACUACGUGCCAGCAGCCGCGGUCAUACGUAGGUGGCAAGCGUUAUCCGGAAUGACUGGGCGUAAAGGGUGCGUAGGUGGUUUAGUAAGUUGGCGGUGUAAUUCCGGGGCUCAACCUCGGCGCUACCGCCAAAACUAUUAGACUAGAGUGCAGGGGGGGUAAGUGGAAUUCCUAGUGGAGCGGUGGAAUGCGUAGAGAUUAGGAGGAACAGCAGGGGCGAAGGCGACUUACUGGACUGUAACUGACACUGAGGCACGAAAGCGUGGGGAGCAAACAGGAGUAGAGACCCGAGUAGUC